UGCUUGAUGUUAGUCUAACCUGUGUGAAAGGUGACUGCGUGUAACCCCUUGUUUCCCGUCCCGGUGUCAGGCGCGUCUCUGGAAGUGGCGUCUCCCUGACAAUUGGUGGCGCAGCGGUGGCAUAUUGUUUAAUUUUUUAAUAGAGCAUUAGUGCUUGGAUUAAGUGUUUAACCCUUGCACUAAGGGACUGUAAAUCCUUGAGAGGAAUAUACAGUCCUGAAGGACAAAACACAGUGCAUAAUUUUUUUUUAUAAGACAUACCUGCAAACAGUUCCCUUCUUGUUUUUCCUUCCUAUCUUUUAUUUUGGCAAUUGUCCCCUGAGAUGGCAUCCUACAGAAGGCAGAGCAAAGAACAGCUGGCCAGGCUCUGCGAGCAGAGAGGGAUUGCCGUGGCAGAUCACACGAAGGAUUGGCUGAUUGCGACCCUGAUCGAGAGUGACCAGGAGUCCAGUACUGCCCAGGAGGGCCAAAUAAUGGACAUUGCCAUCGGGCAGUACCAUGCGGAGGAGGGCAGCAGCGCCAGUUCCCAAAGUGGUGCGGGGUCAUCCCUACAACUGGCUUUACAACAGCUGGGUUCGUCUGACCCUAACCUACGGCUACAGCUUAUUUUGCAACACCAGCAGGCUGAGGCCGCAGCAGCAGCAGCAGAUCGCCAGGCCGCAGCAGCAGCAGCAGAUCGCCAGGCCGCAGCAGCAGCAGCAGAGCGCCAGGCCGCAGCAGCAGACCGGGAGGCAGCGGAACGCCAGGCAGAGAGGCAGUUCCAGCUGGAGAUGGCACGGCUCCAAAGAGAUGCGGCCUCCCCUCCUAGUAGUGAGUCCAGGGAGACAAAUAGUUUUAAACCCCGUCUGGAGAAUUUCCCGGUAAUGGAAAAGGAUGGGGAUAUGGACACUUUUCUGCGGGGGUUUGAAAAAACCUGCAGGCAAUUUCAGUUACCACGUGCCCAGUGGGCACGCUUCCUGACCCCAGGGCUUAAGGGCAAAGCUCUGGAAGUUUUUGCGGAUCUUCCACCAGAAUAUGAUGGGGACUAUGAUGAGAUUAAAAAAGCAUUGAUCCAGCACUUUAACAUCACCCCGGAGAUGCACCGCAAGAAGUUCAGGGGUAUACAUCGUGGAGCCAAUGACAGCUACUCUGAUGUGGUGGGUAGGCUGAGGACCACCUUCCAUCAGUGGAUUCAGGGGCGCAGUGUUUCCACUUUUGCUGAAUUAGGGGACCUGAUGAUACUGGACCAGUUCCUCUGUAUCUGUCCCGUAGAGGUACAGCAGUUUGUCCUAGACCGGGAACCCAAAACAGUAGUUCAGGCCGCACAACUCGCAGACGCAUAUACUGCCAACAGGGUGCCAUACCGGAAGGGACCAUUUCUACAGCGGUCCCCAAGCAGGAGGGAGCAUCACCCAGGGGGUGCAGAACAGCAUGCCCAACCCGGUGAAAAGUCAUCGUUUGGGGUAUCUAGUGCCCACGUAGAGCGUGGAACUAUCCCCCGCUGUUUUUCCUGCCACCAGGUGGGUCAUGUGCGGGCUGACUGCCCCUUAAGGAAGGGACCCACCCCACCUGUGCAGCCAGUGGUAAUGUUAGUGUCUGGUAAGAUGGAGAAGCUGUCUCAUCAUAUGCAGCCUGUAACUGUGGGGGGCAAAGUGACUCAGGGCCUAAGAGACUCGGGGUCCAAUUUCUCUCUGGUGCGUCCAGAGAUUAUCAACACUGGGGACCUUAUUCCUGGGAAGACUUUGUCCGUAAAGGGGGUGGGUGGGGACCACCCAAAAGUGCCUGUGGCCCAGGUGUACUUGGAUUGGGGUGUGGGGAGAGGUCUAAGGGAAGUGGGAGUGUCCAAUGAGAUUCCUGUCGAUGUAUUGUUGGGGAAUGAUUUGGGGAAUAUGCUCUCUGCUUUUGUGCCCAAUGACCAGGUCUCACUAGGUCCAGCCGCGCUGGAGUGUGACAACUCACCUCAAUCAGUAACUGCCACCGGUAAGGUAAAGGGGGAUGGCUGGGAGAGGGGGCUGGAAGACAGGAGAGAGUGUCAAACAGUACCUGACCCAUCAGUGUCCCAAAGUGGGGUUAAAGUGGGGGAGGGGGAGGAGAGGUCUCCCCUAGGGAUUCCCCUGGUGCAGACAGGUAGGUUACCUGCAGUGAGGGAUACCCAGCAUGGGAUCCCUGACCCGGUACCCAACCUGCCUGGGGUCUUGAGUGGGGGUCAGCAGAUAGGCCAAUCUCAGUAGUCAGUGCAGGAGUGUAGGGGACGGGUGGUUAGGACUCAGAGUAGGGUCCUGGUGGAUAGUGCCACUCAGACUGGGGUUAUGGAUGGUAGCUGGGAACCAGGUAUGGCUCCAGUGUCCAAACCAGUGCUGGGAGGGGGGCGGGUAGUCAGAGUCCAGGAGGGAUUGUUGAUGGUACCAGUUGCCCCUAAGGCAGCUGCUGAACAGAGGGUGUGCCCAGAGGGGCAGGGCAUGUGGGUAGAACCCAGUGGUUCAUGUCAGUCUGGGACCGGGCAGGUCAGUACAGACCAAGUGGGCAUAGACUGGGUGGAAGGCGGCCAAACAGUGUCCGAAUUCAGGCCCAGGAAAUGGGGGACUAGGGACCGGCAGGAGGGCCCCACAGGUGCUAAGGUAAUUACAGGGACAGAAGAGAACCAGUUGGGAGCAAGAGACCAGGUGCCUACGGUGGGCAGUUACAGUUUGUGGCCUAAUACACACACUGGCACCCCUUGCAGUGAGGGUACAAACCAGGAUGGAGUGAACAGUGUCCAUAUAUUUUUCCCCUCCGGUGCUGUGGAUCAAGUAGAUAAGGAUCCUAGGCCAAGAGAGUUUAGGCCGGGGAGGUGAAAUCAUUGUUGCAAUUGUUCACUAACAAAGGAAUUUUGAUUAUGACCCGGAUUGGUACAGAGGUUAAUGCAUACUGGUAGUGGCAAGGUUCAAAUCGGCCUGUGGGGCCUUACCAACCUUGCGCACUCUUGAAGGGGGAGGUGUCAUGCCAGGCACCAUGGCCCUGGCAUGGAAAAAUUGUUAUAUCUGCCAACCUUUUGCUUUGUCCACCAGACCCCUCUAAUUAAACACUAUCUAGUCUCCCGCAGAGACCCUUAAUUAAAGAUUCAUCCAGGGACUGCUGGGAGGUGACAAAUACAGCCCCUUGUGAGACUGGCCGUAUCCAGCCAUUUGGUGGGUGGGAAACCUGGGGCUAUUGCUUUCUCUGAUCUAUGAUCAAAGAGGCCAACUGAGGACUCAGGGCAGCAGGGGGGAUGCAGCGAUCAGAAAAUAUGGAUUAUAGAAACGGAUCCAUAUCUUCGCUGCUUUAGGGACCACAUUGUCAUAACUCACAUAGGAUUUAUGAGGAGGUCCCAGGCUCCCCAAGGAUACCAAAAAGGGGCAGCCUAUACCCCUCUCUGAGCAGGAAUGGGUUCUGGGGGACUGGGAUAUGAGACCCCCCUCAUGUUUGGUAUUAUUUUGAUCACCCCCAUGUGGGUUAAAACAAUUCCCUACUUUCAUAAUGAUAUUGAGUACUGGCAAGUACCAAUAUUAUAUGAAAAGAAACUGGCAGGAGAAGUACAGCUCUCUACAGGGGGAGGUCCUGUGGCACACCCCUGGGCACUCCUUUCCUCAUGAAUACAGUAAUGAGGGAGGGGCCCAACAGUAGGAUAAAAAAGGGCACAAAUCCAGGUGCCAGUUAACUCAUAUUGUGGGGUAUCCAUGUUCUGUUGGAUUGUGAGUUCACUAUUCCUAACUCUGGCCCCAGGAGGACACAAGAUCCCGCAUGCACAGUUUAAGCUGAUUUCCUGGUACCACCAUCUGCGCAUGUGCAUGCAGGGUCCGUAUCGGCGGAGAGACCCGAAGACUGUUCAGUUGAAGGGAAGAUGUCGCCCAGGCUGGAAAGCAGCAGGAGAUUAACCCAUUAGUGUUUUCAUGUUGACGGGGACAAUGGCUAGGAAAA